UACAGAGGUCUCAAGCGUUGUUCGGAUUCAUUGGGCGUAAAGGGCGCGUAGGCGGCGCGGUAAGUCGGGUGUGAAAUCUCGGAGCUUAACUCCGAAACUGCAUUCGAUACUGCCGUGCUUGAGGACUGGAGAGGAGACUGGAAUUUACGGUGUAGCGGUGAAAUGCGUAGAUAUCGUAAGGAAGACCAGUGGCGAAGGCGGGUCUCUGGGCAGUAACUGACGCUGAGGAGCGAAAGCGUGGGGAGCGAACAGG
rnacentral:rRNA from 1 species